rnacentral:rRNA from 1 species
UACGGGGGGGGCAAGCGUUGUUCGGAAUUACUGGGCGUAAAGGGCGCGUAGGUGGCCAACUAAGUCAGACGUGAAAUCCCUCGGCUUAACCGGGGAACUGCGUCUGAUACUGGAUGGCUUGAGUUUGGGAGAGGGACGCGGAAUUCCAGGUGUAGCGGUGAAAUGCGUAGAUAUCGGAAGGAACAUCAGUGGCGAAAGCGGCUUCCUGGACCAGCACCGACGUUCAGGCACGAAAGCGUGGGGAGCAAACAGG